AAAGUUAAAUUAAGCAGAGAUUUGAAAGAGGUAAUGGGUAAACUAUGCAGUUAUUUGAGGGAAGAGCUGCUUAUCUGAGUAAAGCUGGUUAUCUAGGAGAAAAGCUGCCCAAGCAACAGAAACAUAGAAUUCCAAGACUCGUAGUCUAGAGCAACCAUGGUAUGUUUGUGUAACACCAUAGAAGCCAGGAGUAAUAUGAGAAAGGAGGAGAGUAGGUGGGGGAAGGGUUUAGACAUAGCAGAUUGUGUAGGAUUUUGUAAGAACUUAGGCUUUUAUUUUAUGUGAGAUGCACAUCUCCUGGAGGAUUUUGAGAAAAGAAACAACAUGAUUUGACUUACAUUUUGAAAGCAUCAUUCAGGCUCUUCUUUGGAGAAUAGACUUUAUUUAGGGGAAGGAAAGUGAAAGGGGAGAAAUGACAAUGGCUUCAACUAGAGUAGUUCUGAGGGAGGUAGUGAGAAGUGAUCAGAUUCUUUUGCAAGGUGGAGUUCCUGAUGAUUGAAUGAAGCACAUGAGAGAGAGAAGUCGAGGAUGACCCCAAGACUUUUGAACUAAGCGACUGGAAGGAUGGGGUUACCAUCAAUUGAGAUGAGAGAGACUUCAGGUAGAGCAAAUUUGAAGGGAUAUUGAAAACAUCAAAACUGCAUUCUCCAGAAUACAAACUCCAUCAAAACCUGCUAUGAAGCUUUCUGACACAUGAGCUACCCUAAAAUACAACUCUUGGACGCCAGAUGAAUUCAACGAUACAAACUAAUA